rnacentral:rRNA from 1 species
UACGUAGGGUGCAAGCGUUGUCCGGAAUUAUUGGGCGUAAAGAGCUCGUAGGCGGUCUGUCGCGUCGGCUGUGAAAACUCGGGGCUCAACUCCGAGCUUGCAGUCGAUACGGGCAGGCUAGAGUUCGGCAGGGGAGACUGGAAUUCCUGGUGUAGCGGUGAAAUGCGCAGAUAUCAGGAGGAACACCGGUGGCGAAGGCGGGCUCUCGUCGGAC